UUCUAACCUUGAUAACACCUUUGAGCAAUGGGGAGAGUUGGGGAUAAGUACCAUAGGGGAUUUAUACAUAGAAGGGACCUUUGCUUCCUUUGAGUUGCCGAGGGAAACUUAUAAUCUUCCCAGAAGUAAUUUUUUCAGAUACCUACAAAUUAGAGACUACGUUAGAAAACACCUCCCAACAUUUGGGAAUGCUAAACCUUCCAUGUUUGACGGAUGCAUAAAAAUAUGCCCCACCUCAGAUAAACUGAUAUCGCGUCUAUAUGAUGCUUUUCAAUCUGUUAGCACACCUUCUACUGAUGCCAUCAAGGCAAAAUGGGAGGAAGAACUAGGGACUGACAUCUCGGUGGCAGGCUGGGAAGAGAGCUUGGAGUAUAUCCACACAUGCUCCAUUAAUUCCAGACAUUGUCUCAUACAAUUCAAGGUAUUACACAGAUUACACUAUUCCAAAACUAAACUGCAUAGGAUAUUUCCUGACACAUCCCCUACAUGUGAUAAAUGUCAGGCUACGCAGGGUACACUACUCCACUGCUUUGCCCUAUGCUCUAGCUUGCAUGGUUAUUGGUGUGGAAUUUUUGGGAUCCUCUCUGAAGUUUUGGAGACUUCAAUAGAUCCAGACCCGCUUCUGAUAAUCCUGGGAGUAUCUGAGUCCCUAAACGGAUUAACCGAACAACUAAUCUCGUACGGUCUCAUCUCGGCAAAAAAACUCAUCUUGUUGUUUUGGAAAAGGAGGGAAGCGCCCUCUACCAAAUUAUGGCUCAGUGAAUUGGCAAACACUGUACACUUAGAAAGAAUUAGAUAUAUUCUGAACAAUAAAUUAUCAACAUUUGAUCAAAUCUGGCAGCCUUUCCUCUCCUACUUGGACGAGUCGGCGCUGUGAAUUUGUACUUUUUAGCGCACUCUCAAUUGUAAUAUUUGGGGGGGGGGGGGGGGGGGGGGCAGCACAUGCUGCCCAAAGGUAGAUUCAAAUAUUACAAUUGAAAGUGCGCUAAAAAGUACAAAUUCA
rnacentral:lncRNA from 1 species